ACUCCCGACCCUCGCUGCCCCCUCCCUCCCGCUCAAACCGCAGUUCAAUGUGUUCACUCUUUCGAAAUCGCCUUUAAUUAAAUGUUUUUCGCGUGUGUCAUCCUGAUGGCUUUUACUGUACUCGAAUUCCGUGAAUGGGAAAGCGCCUGGACAGGGGGUGUGGCUAAGGUGUGUGUGUAGGGGGGGAAUACUGUAAAACAGCUAGCACAUGAUCAGCCAUAUUCCUACCUCCAACUCUAACAUCGAGAAGAAGGGAGCGGCUCCCGGGGGCCCACACUCGCCUCUCCCGCCCUCCCCAGUCGCCGCCAGAAGCCGAGUGGCAAGAGGAGGGGGCCCGCUGGGCCAGUGCCCAAGCCAGGGCUGGAGAUCCUCUCUGCCCCCCAGCCCUGGGCGGCUCGCGCGAGCCUGCUUCCUCUAGAGUGACAGGGAUGAUUUAUACAUUAUUAACAACAGUAAUUAAAGCCGUAGCUUCCUCCUGUUGUUUGCAAACUCCAGGCGCAUUCAAAUAAAUAAUCCCCCAUCCCCAAGAAAAACCCCAAUCAGGUGCCGAUACCUUUAAGAAAGAAGGAAGAGGGUGAGCUUUCCCCAACACUCCACUUUAACUAGAAAAAAAAGCAAGGAGGAGGCAAUGGAGCCCCCUGCAAACAAACACAUACACACGCACACACAUUCUACAAAAUGAAGUGUGUAAAUAUCGCCCGGGGAGGGGGGAACAUCGAUCGCACUAUCCAACCAGCAUUCAACUCGCACUGACCAUUCCCAGGUUCUUGCAGAAACGCUUGGAGAGGGAAGGAUUUCCCAGGUCAGAAAUAAGUUUGGGUGCCUUGGCGAUCUUUCUUUUUCUGCUUGUUUGCUUUUGCAGACGCUCACUCCGAAUGCGCGUGGAGCGCCCCACAGGACCGCCGCCCCGGGCGAGUUGACGCGCACACGCCCCCCGCCAGGCUGGGCGUCCGGCUGCGAGCCCCGGGUCUGCAAACUUGAGCAUCUCCCCUCGCCGCGCCCGCCAGACAACUUGGCGAGCACCUCGCGCGCCCGCACCCUGCUUCCUCCAGCCCAAUCUCCAAAUCCCAAACCCACCGCCGUGCUCCAGAGAAGGUGCCCACGUCGCCCCCCAAGUCCAGGAGCGCCCCCUCUCCACCCCCGGGGCUGCCCUGGUCACUCAAUCCUAACGCCCCCCUCAGCUCUGCGGGGAGCCGAAAACCCACCCCGUCUCGGGCUGCCGGGGCCGAGACUGUCAAAGGAGAAAAGAGAUCGCUGGAGAUGGCGAGCUCCGAGACUCCCUCUAUCUUCUGUUUUCGGAGCAACUCUAUGGGCAUUAAGCUGGGUGCUAAGGAAAAGAGAAGCAAAACUACUGUGUUUUACAGAGAAAGUAAGAUGUGUUCACCAAAACUAAGUGGCAUUCAGUGAUGAGGCUUCAGCUGCCCUAGAGACCACCACAAAAAUAAAGGAAGCUGUGAAUACAUCAACAAAUAAAGGAGUGCAAUUUAUUGAAUACCUAUUAGAUUCUAGAUACUCUCUCAUGUCUCAUAGUUAUUCUAUAGAUUAGGCUCCUCCACUUUGCCAUGAAGCAAUCCACUUAACUUCUCUAAAGAUCCAUGUUUCCAUUUAUAAAAUGGGUUUGAUCACCUUUUUUUUUCAACCACUUACAGCAGAGUUGGUGAGGGUCUCAUAAUAUAGAUGAAAGUGACUUGGAGUCUUAGAGGAGUCUUAGAGGAGUCUCUCCAAUAGAACCACAUUUGUGUUAUCCAGUAUGAUGGCCACUAGCCACAUGUGGCUAUUAAGCACUUGAGAUAAGGUUGAUGUGACUGAAUUUUUUCCUUUUAAAUAGACUCUAUUUUUUUAGAGCAGUUUUAGGUUCAGCAAAAUUAAGCAAGAAGUGCACAGAUUUCCAUAUGCCUCCUGCCUCCACACGCUCACUGCCUCCCCCAUAAUAAUAUCCUCCACCAGAGUGGUACAUUUGUUACAGUCAAUGAACCUACACAGAACCGUAGUUAUCACCCAAAGUCCAUAGUUUACA